rnacentral:snRNA from 1 species
AACUUUGCGCAGUGGCAGUAUCAUAACCAAUGAAGUUAAUCUGAGGUGUGAUUAUUGCUAGUUGAAAACUUUUCCCCACAUUUAUCCCCAGGUGGAAAAUGAGGCACAGAAAUUAAGUGUC